CCUACGGGAGGCAGCAGUGAGGAAUAUUGGUCAAUGGACGAGAGUCUGAACCAGCCAAGUCGCGUGAAGGAUGACUGCCCUAUGGGUUGUAAACUUCUUUUAUAUGGGAAUAAAAUGUUCCACGUGUGGGAUUUUGUAUGUACCAUAUGAAUAAGGAUCGGCUAACUCCGUGCCAGCAGCCGCGGUAAUACGGAGGGUACGAGCGUUAUCCGGAUUUAUUGGGUUUAAAGGGAGCGUAGGUGGAUUGUUAAGUCAGUUGUGAAAGUUUGCGGCUCAACCGUAAAAUUGCAGUUGAAACUGGCAGUCUUGAGUACAGUAGAGGUAGGCGGAAUGCGUGGUGUAGCGGUGAAAUGCAUAGAUAUCACGAAGAACUCCGAUUGCGAAGGCAGUUCACUGGACUGCAACUGACACUGAGGCUCGAAAGUGUGGGUAUCAAACAGGAUUAGAUACCCCUGUAGUC
rnacentral:rRNA from 1 species